rnacentral:rRNA from 1 species
CCUACGGGCGGCAGCAGUGAGGAAUAUUGGGCAAUGGGCGCGAGCCUGAACCAGCCAAGUAGCGUGAAGGAUGAAUGCCCUACGGGUUGUAAACUUCUUUUAUAAAGGAAUAAAGUGAGGCACGUGUGCCUUUUUGUAUGUACUUUAUGAAUAAGGAUCGGCUAACUCCGUGCCAUCAGCCGCGGUAAUACGGAGGAUCCGAGGGUUAUCCGGAUUUAUUGGGUUUAGAGGGAGCGUAGAUGGGUUGUUAAGUCAGUUGUGAAAGUUUGCGGCUCAACCGUAAAAUUGCAAUUGAUACUGGCAGUCUUGAGUACAGUUGAGGUAGGCGGAAUUCGUGGUGUAGCGGUGAAAUGCUUAGAUAUCACGAAGAACUCCGAUUGCGAAGGCAGCUUACUAAACUGCCACUGACAUUGAUGCUCGAAAGUGUGGGUAUCAAACAGGAUUAGAUACCCUUGUAGUC